UUUAUGGUACUAAAUGUCAACAGAACUGUAGUCAGGGUUGUUUAAGCAAUCACUGUUCUAAAUCUGACGGUAGAUGUAAUGACUGUAAACCUGAUACAGUUGGUCCAUACUGUAACCUAACUUGUGGUACAGAAUGUCAACCAAUCACAGACCAGACCAGGGUCACGUGUGAUAGAAAUGGAAGAUGUACUAAUUGUAUACUGGGAAGAUAUGGUAAUGGUUGUGAUUUAAACUGCAAUACAGGGUGUGGUGGUGGAUGUGAUAGAGGUACUGGUAGAUGUACUAACUGUCGUAUAGGAAGAUAUGGUGAUGGGUGUGAUGUGGACUGUAGUAUAGGAUGUGAUGCUGGAUGUGAUAGAAAUGAUGGUAAAUGUAUAACUUGUAUUAAAGGUAAAACUGGAGACAUAUGUGAUAUCAACUGUAAUGUUGAUUGUACUGUUUGUGAUAGAGAUGAUGUCAAUGCGUGUACUGAAUGUAAAGAUGGAAGAUGGGGACCAUCAUGUAAUAAACUAUGUAGUAUUAACUGUAAAUCAGUAGUUGGUACAACUAAUGGUAAAUGUGAUCAGAUGGCAGGAAAUUGUAUAGAUGGAUGUUCACCUGGUAAAAUGGGAUUAAACUGUACAACAGAAUGUUUACCUGUUUCUACAAGAGCACCAUUAAGUCCUGUGGUAUAUGUUGUAAUUGGUUUUCUAUGCGGUAUGCUUAGCACGAUAGCUCUCUUCCUGUCAUAUCAUUUCUACAAGAAAAGGUGCCAAUCGAAUAAGCAAGACGAAGAAAUUGAACCUGAUUAUGUUUACAGUAACACAGAUUUAAACCCGACUAGUUCUACAACAGACGAUUCAUUAACCACUGGAUAUCAAAAUAUUCCAACUAAUACACGUAAUGUAGACUAUGUAAACCAGUCGUUUAAUACAGAAGACAACACGAGAAAUACGUAUGAUACAUUAGAUCACACAGUAGAUGAUACGCCAAAUACGUAUACAUCUAUAGAGUCUAACAAACUCAAAAAGAUGUAAUACUAUAUCUUGUAAAUAAGAAAUAUGUAUGAUACAUUAGGUUACACAUUAGAUAAUACAUCUACAGUUUGUAACAGAAUCAAAGAGAUGUUAUAAUGUAUUUUGAAUAUAAGAAAUAUGUAUGAUACAUUAGAUUACACAUUCGAUAAUACAUCUAUAGAUUCUAACAUAAUCAAAUAGAUGUAAUAAUGUAUAUUUGAUAUAAUUGUAUGAAGUAUGAUAUACUAGGUCAUGCAUUAAAAUUUCCUUUGAGCCACAUUCCACCAAGAAGCGCUAUUACAUUUGUAUAUUAUUUAGUUGUUACUUUAGUAUUUCUCGUUAGAAGUUUAGAAAUAGAGUUAUUGAUGUAUUUCGAUAUAUGUAUAUACUCUUCAAAAAAGAAGGGGAUAUUGAAAUGCAAAUACCUAUGCAAGUUGUGAUAUGAUAAAUAGUCAUGGACACUUGACAUGCUUUGAGAGUAUGUUCACAGAUGAAGAACUUAUCGCCCCAACAGAACCACGGAUCUGCAUGUGCGACACGCAAUAGCGCCAUACACGUGAGAGUGGUUCAUUGUCAAAUUUAACACUUCAAGGAAGGGUUGAUGAAAACUGCCGCCUGUUGGCUUAUCCUAUCCAUGUUUGUUUUCCUAUCGGUUCUUGCAUAAGAUUUACUCUUUAGCGUAUUUUUGCUUAGUGUGUUACGUUUUAUUUGAUCGGGAGACGUGUUCGUCAACGUCAACAUCAACCGUCAACACUGCAAGAAUUGGCCGUGGCACUGCAAGAGGAGUGGGUCAGAUUACCCCAAAUCGGGAUUGGACGGUUGAUCAGGAGCAUGCCACGACGACUUGCUGAAUGUAUGGGGAUUGGUGGAGCAAUUACUCAUUAUUAAGACAAAAAUCAGAACGUCCAUUUUUACUUUUGACAGUGUAUCGCUUUGCGAGUGAAAUGGGGAUGUCAGAUAAGUCACCCAUAUGAACUGUUUAUGUUCAUGUGUAGGCAAUUGGCUUGUUAUUAACAUACACUGACUACCUCUAAUGACAACAGCAGUGCAUUUCCACAGUAUUUGUAUUGUUUCUGGAUAUCCCCUCCUUUUUUGAAGAGUAUAGUAUCUAGUUUUACUAAAGACGCCUUAAAUGUACCAUAUUCUUAAAAUAUUCAAGGUAUUUCUAAUUAGUUGAAUUAUAAUAUACGCUUGGUUAUGUUAUUGAGUUAUGUUUUUAGCCCAGUUUUAGUUUCAUUCUCGUUCAAAAUUACUUUUCAACUACAUUUGAUUUAUUAGCAGAUUAAAAUGUUUGCAUGUUUAGAGGUCGCAUUUAUACAUUUUGUCACGGUCGUAUUUCAUUAGUGUCACUAUGGGUUGCCCAAACUCUGCCGCGUGGCUCGCCCAAACUAUUUACCUGUAAUAUUAAGGCUCGCCCAAACUGUCUACCUUCAAUGCACGUGCAUACAGGUAGUAUAUAAACCUGACAAUCGGGCAGGUUUAGGAGAUGGAUUAUGACAGUUGGAUUGGAGGACUCGAUACUGCCAUCGGGUACUUGGGUGAGUGAAAUCGUUAUGCUAUUAAUUUUGGUGUAUUGGUUCCGAUGUGCAGGUUUCGUAUAUUUUACUCAUCGUUGUAUAUUUUGUUAGUAUGAGUAAAUAUUUCAUGUAUAAAUGUUGACUAAUUUUACAGGUCCCCUUUUGGGUACCUACUGACGGAUGUUAACUGUUCACUCCUGGAGUCGCCGAUAAAUGGUAUCGUCGAUGUAUGGUCACGCCUCGGCCAUCCUGUGACACAUUUGUACCUAGAAAGACCCGUUCUAGCAAAGUUUAUAUUAUUUUUUUAAUGCCGUUGUCUUUUUAAUGCAAUGUUAUGUUUUAUCACUUAACAUAUAAUUGUAUAUUUACAAAUGAAUAUGUUGUUAACAUUACGUUAUAUUUAUCACAUUAUUUAUAGAAAUAAUAUUUAUACAUGUAUAGAUGAACAGUUUGUUAAUAUUGUGCUAUAGUAUGUUUAUAAAAUUAUUAAUAAAACCCAGUAUUUGUUUACUGGUAGAUGAAUACUUUGUUGAUAUUGUGUCAAGUGGCAUGGAUUCGUAUUCCCGCUUGUACGUGACACGGAGUAGGGUGACCUGUCCGACCUUCUGGGUUUUCUAGGGUUUUUUUUCUUUCCUCCCACUGGUAAAAACCCCUACGCACAAGCGAAUUAUUGAAAUAAUAAAAUUAACUAUGUUAUUCCCGAAAUGACUUAAUUUGUGUCGGGAUGAUGUUAAAUAUC